rnacentral:tRNA from 1 species
UGCCCUGUCGUCUAAUGGUAGGACACUAGACUCUGGAUCUAGGUAUUGUGGUUCGAGUCCACACGGGGCAGCCA